GCUAAGCCAAGCAUAACAAGAGAACAAGCCUUCACUAUUUUUACUAUUUCUUUAUUGCUACAACGGGAACUGACUUCUCAACUAAUAUCCUUUCACCCUCUCUGUUUCAUUGGGAAACUUAAAAGAACCCACCUUAGAUUCAUUCUUCCUUCACUUCACAAACCAACGCAACAGGCUCUGUUUCUGUUGUAAUAGAGAUAGUGCCUGUCGACAUUUCACGUGGGACCUGUGUUCAUUUCGGACUCACAAUUCCUCAAGAAACAAAAAAAGAUCAUAAACUACUUAUGCUCUCUUCCUCCUUCUAGCUUCCUCCUCCACCACCACCACCCUCCAAAUUUCUCUAUCACUCUCUCCUUCUUCUUCAAAGAAUCGAAAGAAAAAAAGGCUUGUUUAAUUGUAAUAACACAACAGCAACUGCGCAACGAGUAAGAACAAGAAAACAUGAUGCUUUGAAAACUCUCUCUCAAACAAGAACUCCUCCUCUGUGUUUCCGUUCCAUGGACUCAAGAACGAUUCUUGAACAUGCGCGGUUCCAGCUCACUCCCACCAGAACCACGUAUGGGCAUUCCUUAUUUACAUGCAAACUGGCAAUUUUUGCGUUUGUUUCAGGUGAUUGAUAUAUAUUUUUUUUUAAUUCUUUUUUACUGAAUUAAUUCUUGAAGAUGUGAUCUGGUGAUUUUUGCUGGUGGUGUGAGUGAGAAAGUGGCAUCUGGCCUCCUAGAACCGUUUGUUUUGCAUUUAAAAACCUCUAAAGAUCAGAUAUCAAAAGGUGGCUACUCCAUCUUCCUUCGUCCUGUCCCUGCAAAUGCCCACUGGUUUACUAAGGCCACUCUCCAGAGAUUUGUGAGGUUUGUUAGCACACCAGAAGUUCUUGAGAGAUUUGCGACAAUAGAGAGAGAGUUAGAGCAGAUUGAGAAUUCAGUUCAAUCUAAUGAGCUGCUGAAUGCAGAUGCAGAAGGUAUGCAUGGGGCAAAAAAUCUGCAUUUUUUAUGAAUAGUAUCUAUUACUUACCUUCAUUUUGCAGCAACUCAUUUGGCUGUAGAUUUUAAGUACCAGGAAAUUGUAGUCUAAAAUUCUGUCAUGCUAACUGAUCACCUUUUAUUGACUGGAGCAUUAGGAUUUGGUGGAAAUUAUGAGAAUUCAAGUGCCUCAUCUAAGGUAUGUCAUUAGUUGAAAUAUCUCAUAAGAUAUUGUUUGGUGAUGUUUCCUUCAAUCCCGACAUCAUAAUUUUUUACCUGUUUCUUGAUGCCUCAUUUUAGUCUAAAGGAGAUUAUGAUGGAGCCAGUGAUGCUGCACAGGAAGACAAUUCCAAGGUUCGACUUCAACGUGCUUUGGAAACUAGGAAAGCUGUGCUUCACAAAGAGCAGGCAAUGGCAUAUGCUCGGGCUUUGGUUACUGGAUUUGAACUGGACUGUAUAAAUGAUCUUAUCUCCUUUGCUGAUGCUUUCGGAGCUUCACGUUUAAGGGAAGCAUGUUUAAAUUUUGUGGAAUUAUGCAAGAAAAAGAAUCAAGAUCGGCUUUGGAUGGAUGAAAUUGCAGCGAUGCAGGCAUCUAGACUGGAGUUACCUUAUCUUGGAACUUCUGGAAUAGUGCUUGCCAGUGAGGAAAAUUAUCCUAGCCAAAUCGGUGGUCUCUCUGGUGGGAAACUGAAUGGCUCAAUAGAUGCAUCGGUGUCUGACUCAAGUCUUGGAAGUUCAGACCUAAACCAAGAAAGUAGUUUGCCAACAUCAGCUGCAGUGCAAUCAACAGAUGGCAAAGCUCAAAUGCCGAUGGCAUGGCCGAACCAUCUUCCUCAAUACAUGCACAAUUUUCAAGGACCUGUAUUUCAACAAAUGCCCCCAUAUCAAGGCUACCUUUUUCCUGGUAUGCAAGUUGCCCCCCCAUAUUUUCCAGGGAAUAUGCAGUGGCCUCCAAAAGUGGAUGAUUCUGGCCUCCGGCAUGACUGGGAACCAGAUGGUCAUAAAAAGCAUAAAUCAUCAUCUAGGAAAAAGAAGUCCGCACAUGGCAAAGGAAUGGAAACUUCAAACCAAGAUGAUUCCACUGAACCUAGUUAUUCUAGCUCGGAGACAGAAUCGGACAAUGAUUUGCAGAAUGGCGAAAAGCAGUCUUCAAUUGAGCAGGUACGAAGAAAGAAGCAUGGGAAGAAGUCCUCAAGAAAGGUUGUCAUCCGCAACAUUAAUUACAUUACCUCUAAGAGGGAUGGGGAAAAGGGAAGCAUGUCUGAUGAGACAUCUGAUGGGGAUGAUUUCAUUGAUGGAGAAGCUCUCAAGCAGCAGGUGGAGGAAGCUGUUGGUUCAUUGGAAAGACGACAUAAAUCAACCUCACGUCAUCAUAAGAAAUCAAAUCGCAGCACUAUAGAUAAUUCAAAUGACGAAGAUAAGAAGAAAGUAGCUGCCAAUAAUACGGAGGGACAAAAAGGAAAUGAACAGUGGGGUGCUUUCCAGGACCUUCUUUUGAAGGAUAAGGAUUUAGACUCCUUUGAAACUGAUCCACAUCCUUUACAGGUUCAACAGCACUCUACAGCCAAGAGCUCUGAGGAGAGAAUGUUGUUGGCAUUUAAUCUGGAAUCUGAGAAAAUAUCUAAGCACAGAGCAAUUUCAAUUGAUUCCUUUGUCGCAGACAAGAGGGAAACAGGUAAUGAAGAUCAAUUUCGCAUUGGAAACUUCGAAUCUGGUGAAAAUCUCAAGUCAAUGACAAAGAAAAGGGAUGGCACAUAUGAGGAGAUGUUAUUUUCUCAAAGAACUGAUGAGCCAGGGAACCAUCGGCGAACUACUGUUUCUGAUAAUUCCACUGAAUCUCUGAUGAUCAAAAGUCAAAAAGAAGGAGAUUGGUUCAUCAGCAACCAACUGGAUAAGCCAGCAAACAAGGAUGAAAAUAUGAAUCUUAGAACAUUUGAUGGUGAUUAUGCUUCAUCAUUGGCUGAUGAUCAUUUUCGCUUUGAGAAAAGUAAGAAAGAUGUUCUAGUUGAUGACUCAUUCAUGAUCCAAGCUCGACCAUUUGUAGACGAUCAAUCUCAAUCUAUGUUAAGAACAGAUAUAAGCAUGGCUGCAGAUAUAGUUGAAGCUACUAAAUACGAUAACGCCACCUCUGAAAUCACUCAUGAUAAGGCUGGCACAUAUGGCACUCACGAACCAGAAGACCUUUACAUGGUGCUUGGGAGAGAUUCAGCUGCAGAGAAUGCUAUGUCAUCUUGGACUCCAGAAAUGGACUAUGAGAAUGACCUUCUAUCUGCUGAAGCCAAUGUAAAACAAUCUGGUAUUGAAACAAAUGCUGCCGAAGAUAAGCUUCCUUCUAAUGGUAAGGGCACUAAUGGCAAACCUGGUGGAAAUGCUGGAGGAAAGAUUCCUGGUAAGGAAGCAAGGUCAAAAGUUUCAAAUGCAUCUCUUGGAAAGAGCAAAUCUUCCUUAAUGUCAAGGACCAAGAAACCAACUUCUGGAGGCAUAACCACAGUUCAGAGAGGCAAAUCUGACAAGGAAGAAGAGAAAAGAAAGAGAAUGGAAGAGUUAUUGAUUCAACGCCAGAAGAGAAUUGCUGAAAGGAGUGCUAGUGGCAAUAGUCCAGCAACUUCCAAGAGAAUGCUAGUGAAAAGAACAUCUUCCUUAAAGAAUGAGGAGUCCAAAACCCAGCCUCCAAGCCAAGAGACUAAGAAAACAUUGUUUAGGAGUUCCACCAUUGAUCGUCUUGCCUCUGCUCGAACAAUGCCAAAGGUGGAAUCAGCUCAAUCAAAACCUGCCGAGCCCAAAAAGGCAUCCUCGAAGGCUAAUGGUUUGCCACAGAAGACUGCUGGGGCUGACAAGAAAUUGAGCCCAAAGACUCUGAAACCUAAUGUUCCUCAAAAGAAAGAAAGCAAGGUAGCUGCAGCAGAGGAGCUGAAAAAGGUACCAGCUACCGAAAGCAUCGACCAAUUUAAAGACAUUAAGGAGUUGCACAGCGUUGAUUCACUAGAGAAAGAUGAAGGAAAUAUGAUUUCACGAACUGAUACUUCAAAUGACAAGGGCUACAGUGGCAGUGUGCCCCACAUGGACUCAUCUGCACAACUGGAUCACUUAAAAGGUAAUGAUGAGGGAUUAUCUAUGGCAGCUCCAAUUCUUGCUGAAAACAUUAAAACUUCAGGUGAUCAUGAUCAUUAUACUUCUGAAAUGACAAAACAUCCUGUGCCAGAAUCACCAAAUGAAGAUUUAAACCUUUCUGCUGAAAAUAUCAGAGAUAAUGGUAUGAAAACUGAAAAUGUGCCUUCACCAGAAAAAUCUGAAAUUCAAAUAUCAACCCCACCACCUGCUGAAAUAAACCCAGAAACAGUCCACUCUAGGAAGAAGUGGAACAGUGAUGAAACCUCUCCGAAAGCUGCUAAAGGCUUUAGAAAGCUUCUUCUGUUCGGAAGGAAAAGCCGGACCUCUACUACCAAUUGAUCUUAUGCUUGCCGAAUGAUUGAGUAAACAAAAAAAGGGGGGAAAAAAAAAAAGGGAAUUGAAAGAUGGUAGAUAGCUCCCAUACAUAAUAAGGCCUUUGGUGUUGGUGCCAAUAUGAGAAGCGGCAUGUUUUGUAAUUUAUCAGGGUUUGGUACUGCAUAGUGUGAGUGUAAAGAAAUUAAGUUUUUAUUGGUAUGUUUUUUUGUAUCUGUUUUGAUGUACACUGAAACCCUUUUUAAAACUUUGCAGUCUAUACUCAAAAUUGUGGUUGUAUGUAUCUCACAACCCUGUAAUGAGUUAUUGUUAGCUUGUUACAGUGCAUCCAAUUAUUUUCUUUGUUAUCUAUUCAGGAAUGAAAGGAUUGUUCUUGUUGUUGGAGCCUAAACACUUGUCUUUUGAAAUUUUUCCAUGUUUAAUGUUGGGAAGUUUAAUUUCAGCAAGUGCAGAUUUCUUCUU
rnacentral:misc_RNA from 1 species